rnacentral:lncRNA from 1 species
AUGUAAUACUGUAGUUUUAGAGCAUUAUUAAGACCUAAUACAUGCUCAAAACCUCAUAGUUGUCUUAAGAUAGGUUUAGAUCACGAGAACAAUUUUAAAACCCUACACAACCUUUUGGCCAAGCUAUCAUGUAACCUCAUAGGUACUCAAAAUAACUCAAGAAGCAAAGAGUUUCCUUAUCCUCAACUAUCCUUGAACUUUAGCAUUUUUUAUCCCAAAUUAGGUAAGCAGUGCUGAAGCACUACACAAGGACCCAUGAGUUUCCCAACUUUGUGUUAAUUUAAAGGAGUGCGCUUGCACUUGCGAGGGGUGGUGCUUGUUUCCAACUGCAUC